GAUGAACGCUGGCGGCGUGCUUAACACAUGCAAGUCGAACGAUGAAGCCCAGCUUGCUGGGUGGAUUAGUGGCGAACGGGUGAGUAACACGUGAGUAACCUGCCCUUGACUCUGGGAUAAGCCUGGGAAACUGGGUCUAAUACUGGAUAUGACUUCUCAUCGCAUGGUGGGGGGUGGAAAGAUUUAUUGGUCUUGGAUGGACUCGCGGCCUAUCAGCUUGUUGGUGGGGUAGUGGCUCACCAAGGCGACGACGGGUAGCCGGCCUGAGAGGGUGACCGGCCACACUGGGACUGAGACACGGCCCAGACUCCUACGGGAGGCAGCAGUGGGGAAUAUUGCACAAUGGGCGCAAGCCUGAUGCAGCGACGCCGCGUGAGGGAUGACGGCCUUCGGGUUGUAAACCUCUUUCAGUAGGGAAGAAGCGAGAGUGACGGUACCUGCAGAAGAAGCGCCGGCUAACUACGUG
rnacentral:rRNA from 1 species